AGAGUUUGAUCCUGGCUCAGGACGAACGCUGGCGGCGUGCUUAACACAUGCAAGUCGAGCGGUAAGGCCCUUUCGGGGGUACACGAGCGGCGAACGGGUGAGUAACACGUGAGCAAUCUGCCCUUCACACAGGGAUAACUUCGGGAAACCGAAGCUAAUACCUGAUACGACCACUUCAGGCAUCUGAUGGUGGUGGAAAGUUCUGGCGGUGGAGGAUGAGCUCGCGGCCUAUCAGCUUGUUGNGUGGGGUAAUGGCCUACCAAGGCAACGACGGGUAGCCGGCCUGAGAGGGUGACCGGCCACACUGGGACUGAGACACGGCCCAGACUCCUACGGGAGGCAGCAGUGGGGAAUAUUGGACAAUGGGCGAAAGCCUGAUCCAGCAACGCCGCGUGAGGGAUGACGGCCUUCGGGUUGUAAACCUCUUUCAGCAGGGACGAAGCGCAAGUGACGGUACCUGCAGAAGAAGCACCGGCCAACUACGUGNCAGCACCGCGGUAAUACGUAGGGUGCGAGCGUUGUCCGGAAUUAUUGGGCGUAAAGGGCUCGUAGGCGGUUUGUCGCGUCGGGAGUGAAAACUCAGGGCUUAACCCUGAGCCUGCUUCCGAUACGGGCAGACUAGAGGUAUGCAGGGGAGAACGGAAUUCCUGGUGUAGCGGUGAAAUGCGCAGAUAUCAGGAGGAACACCGGUGGCGAAGGCGGUUCUCUGGGCAUUACCUGACGCUGAGGAGCGAAAGUGUGGGGAGCGAACAGGAUUAGAUACCCUGGUAGUC
rnacentral:rRNA from 1 species